UCUCCGUUGGUGAACCAGCGGAGGGAUCAUUACCGAGUUUACAACUCCCAAACCCCAAUGUGAGCGCUACCAAACUGUUGCCUCGGCGGGAUUUCUGCCCCGGGCGCGCCGCAGCCCCGGACCUACCCGCCCGCCGGAGGGCCAACACAAAACUCUUUUGUAUACUCCCUCGCGGUUUUUAUAUUUCUCAGCCUUCACGGCGCCCCUAGCGGGCGUAUCGAAAAUGAAUCAAAACUUUCAACAACGGAUCUCUUGGUUCUG
rnacentral:misc_RNA from 1 species